CUGCCCUCAUCGUAGAGAAGGCAAAGGCGCUAAAGCUGUCGCCGUCUCAAAAAGAAGCGAAGGCGUCGAGGCUGUCGCCGUCUCAAAAAGAAGCAAAGACGUCGAAGCUGUCGCCGUCACCGAAGGCCACCUCGCAGCACUGCAAGGCUGCUGGCGCCCGGGAACGGCGUGCUGCUUGCGGCAGGAAGCGUACGUCCAGGAGACGACGCAGAGAUUCUUCAUGCAGUGACUGCUGUUCAACCUGCUCUGAAGACAGUUGCUCUGAUGAAAGCCAUUCUGAUAGCUGUGGCACCUGCAGUGACUAUGAUACAGGCAGUGACGGAAGUUACAGUGACACUUCCUGCUCAUGCUCAGACUGCUACAAUGAAGAGGACUGGACACCUGGCAACAGCCCACUGAAGCAAAAGAAAAAAUAAUUUCAAGAGUGUAUAUAAUAUAGUUGGCAUCUUGACUGAUAUUUAUUCAUAAAUUUUUCAUUUUAAGGUUGGCUUGUAAGGGUAAUUUUUUAAAGUUGAAGUGUGAAGAAAUUUUAACUGAAAUUUUUAAACUGUAUUUUCCAAAACUCUUAUGGUGCAAAAUUCUAAAAGUAACAACAAUCUGUGUGUUUUUCAAUUUAUGCAAAACUGAAAAAGUAAUAAACAUUAAUUUUAAAAAAAUUAA